GCGACUGCUCAGUCUAAAGAAGAGGAGGACUGUUUAAUUUCUCGCCCCCUGGUUGCGAAGCGCGUCCGUCACAAGUCGCUGGUUUGACGGCGGGCUCAUGUCGAAGGACGGCCGGUACGAGGGGCGCCGUCGCGGCGGGGCUCAGCAUCUCCGGUUCGGGCUGAGGUCGGCUCAGAGCGGGGACGCCAGAGACAGAUCGGCCAGCAACAGCUCUGGAUCAUCUCAUGGAGGAGGGAAGAGCAGGAAUACGCCCAUCAACAUCGCCCUAAAGGCCUCUUUCCAGCGGUCCAACAGCCAUGACAAGGUGAGGAAGAUCGUGGCCGAGGAAGGCCGGGCUGCUCGAAACCUCAUCGCAUGGAGCGUCCCAGUCGAGAGCAAGGAGGAAGAGGCUAAGUUGAAGAAUCACGGAAAUGGCAAUGCAAGAGCUCAACGAAUCAACUCUGGGCUCCACAGGAACAAAAAACAGAACUUAUCACUGGACUGCAAAAACCCACCUGUGGCGAUACUGGACAAAGGUCCUGAGAAGAGCCCCACCAAAACUAGACAGCCACGGAAGGUGGACCUCCGAGCGCGAUACUGGGCCUUUCUUUUCGAUAAUCUCCGGAGAGCAGUGGAUGAGAUCUACGUCACCUGUGAAUCCGACCAGAGCGUGGUGGAGUGCAGGGAGGUGCUGAUGAUGUUGGAUAACUACGUCCGUGAUUUCAAAGCUCUAAUUGACUGGAUCCAACUACAGGAGAAGCUGGAAAAAACAGACGCUCAGAACAGGCCUACGUCUUUGGCUUGGGAAGUUCGAAAGAUGUCACCAGGGCGACAUGUAAUGUCCAGCCCCUCGUCAGACCGUAUUGUUCCAUCACCUGGCGUUCGCCGUGCACUCAACUUUGGUGGUCCCCCUCCCACUUUGGCUGUGGCACGUCUCUCGCACAGUGGACCAAGCUGGGCUGACCGAGUCAAGUGUUCCCAGUCACUUCCUGUCUCCAGCCCAAGUGUCAACAUCCCUGCUGAAAAACCAGCAAAGAAAGAUGCAGAGGGCUGGGAGACCGUGCAGCGUGGGCGCUCCAUGAGGCCACGCUCCAUCACCAUGGUGGCUAAGGUAAGCCCCGUUCUGGCCCAUGUCAGCCCCAAAGAUGACAGCGACAAGGAGAACCAGCGCCUCCAGCCCUCACCUCAGGAAAAGUCUCAGGAGGUGACGGAACAAGAGCAACUUUUACCCCAAGAGCAGAGACAAGAGACGGAAAAGACCCCCGUCAUCGAGUCCCCAGCAGAAAGUAUUGAAGAGCCAGGGCAGAGUGUCAGCGCACCCUCUGAGGACACGCCACCCCCCACCUCUGACCCCACGCCACCCCCUACCUCUCCGCCUUCGCAAGCCCAGUGCCCGGAAUGGGAUUCCGAUCCAGGUCCUCCUUCUGUAACCCUUUCCCAAACAGAGGAGCCAGGUACUGGGCAAGCCAAAGUAGAGCAGGGGAUGGAUGGGUCGGUGUGGAAGGUCGCGGCACCGUCAGAAAAGGUGGAGGCAGCAGUCUACGUUCCCCUGGCAGCGAUGACACUGGAGAGCAUGCUGGACCCCACAGAACUUUCCACCCCCCAAUCCAUGGCUGAAGUUUUGGCUAAGAAGGAAGAGCUGGCUGACCGCCUGGAAAAAGCUAACGAAGAGGCGAUCGCAAGUGCCAUCGCUGAGGAGGAACAGCUGACGCGUGAGAUCCAAGCAGAGAACAAUGAACUGGAGACCGAGAGCGACUUCUCUGCAGGUAUCGGGAGUGGCAGUUGUGGCUUGAAUUUAGACUGGAGUGAGAUGCUAGCUGAUUAUGAGGCUCGAGAGCCUUGGCGUCAGAAUACCUCCUGGGGUGACAUCGUGGAGGAGGAGCCGGCCCGCCCGCCCGGUCACGGCAUUCACAUGCAUGAGAAACUGUCCUCACCUUCACGCAAACGAACCAUUGCAGAGUCCAAGAAGAAACAUGAAGAGAAGCAACUCAAAGCCCAGCAGCUCCGAGACAAACUAAGAGAGGAGAAGACCCACAAGCUGCAGAAACUGUUGGAAAGGGAAAAGGAGGUGAGGAAGUGGAAAGAGGAGCUGUUGGAUCAGAGGAGGAAGAUGAUGGAGGAGAAGCUGCUUCAUGCUGAAUUCAAGCGAGAGCUUCAACUCCAGGCCAUCGUGAAGAAAGCGCAGGAAGAGGAGGCCAAGGUGAAUGAGAUCGCAUUCAUCAACACUCUAGAAGCCCAAAACAAGAGACACGAUGUUCUGGCUAAACUAAACGAAUAUGAGCAACGGCUUAAUGAGCUGCAGGAGGAACGCCAGCGGAGACAGGAAGAGAAGCAAGCGAGGGAUGAAGCCGUUCAGGAGCGUAAGCGGGCCUUGGAGGCGGAGCGGCAGGCGCGGGUGGAGGAGCUUCUGAUGAAGAGACGGGAACAAGAGGCCAGAAUUGAACAACAGCGACAGGAGAAGGAGAGGGCGAGGGAAGACGCAGCGCGGGAGAGAGCCAGGGACCGUGAGGAGCGUUUGGCUGCUCUCAGUGCGGCUCAGCAGGAAGCCAUGGAGGAACUACAGAAGAAAAUCCAGAUGAAACAUGACGAGAGCAGCCGUCGACACAUGGAGCAGAUGGAGCAGAGGAAAGAAAAGGCCGCUGAGCUGAGCAGCGGAAGACACGCCAACACGGACUACGCCCCCAAACUCACCCCUUAUGAACGGAAGAAGCAAUGCUCACUCUGUAACGUUGUGAUCACCUCUGAGGUCCACCUGUUCAGUCACAUUAAGGGGAAGAGGCACCAGCAGGCAGUGCGGGACAGCAGCAGCAUUCAAGGGCGGGAGCUGUCCGAUGAGGAGGUGGAACACCUGUCUCUAAAAAAGUACAUCGUAGACAUCAUGACUGACAGCAGCGUGCCCUCCGACAGUGCAAAAGAGGGAGAAGAGAGGCAGAAAGCUCGGAAAAAGGCCAAGAAACUGCGGGCACGCAUGAACUCAAGGGCUAAGGAGUAUGAGACAUGCAUGGAAGCCAAGACCCAGAGCCCUGACUCUCCUUACAAGGCAAAGCUUCAGCGUCUAGUAAAGGAUCUAGUAAAGCAGCAGCAGGGGCAGGACAGUGGCCAGUGGGCCAGUAACAAAGUGUCUGGCCUGGACAGAACCCUGGGAGAAAUCUCCCGCAUUCUGGAGAAACAGAAUAAUGCAGAUCAGGUAGCGUUUCAGGUAGGAGGGGGUUUGUCCGCACUGGAACAGAUCCUACAGGUUGUCAUCGCGGCCUCCAGUCCCACAGCAGUCCCUCGUAUUCCUCUCAAGUCCCUCUGCAAUGCCGUGAACACGUAUUACCUGUCCUGUGUACACUGCCACAACAACUGUUCCUAUGUUCUGUACAGCAACAAAAUUACCUUUCUCAUGGACCUUCUCCUCCAUCAGUUAACACUCUUUGUGCCAGAUGAGGACAAGUCCAUCUUCAGCUGCAGUGUCAAUAAGCAGGUCUUUGAGGGUUUGACUACAGGACUUCUGCAGACAGUCGCCACAGUGCUCGGGCAGUUGCACCCACCUAAUUUGGAUAGAGAUGCUCCACGUAUAUGCACUCCAGAUGCCAAAAGCAGACCGGUUGCAAGUGAGAACUUCAACACACGUACUCAAGAUCUCAUCAGCUACGUGGUGAACAUGGGCUUGAUCGACAAGCUAUAUGGCUGUUUCCUGUCCAUACAAGGACCAAUUGACGAGAGUCCCAAGAUGGCUGCCUUUCUCGAGCAAGCCACAGCUUUCCUCCAUGGGUUGUGCAAGUUGUGUUUUGCUGUGACUGGUCGCAGGUGAGCGCUAUCCUGCUUCUGGAGAUCUACCUUCCUGCAAAGUUUCUACUCUAAUACACCCAUAUGCAGUCUUUGAGGACUCCUAAACAUUGAUUAUUGGCACAGGGAUCAGCCCUUGAUACCAAAAUCCAGAGUCUUGCCACUGAGACGGUAACGGAAGAUCUCGUCUCAGAUCAGCCUUAAGGAGCGCUCCUGCCCAGACCCUCAGGGGUAUGAAGUUACCAAUCCUGCUAAUCUUCAGGGUGUUGUCCUGACUGAGACACACAAACAUGCUGCUGUAAAUCUGGUAAGAUGGGUCUUAAUUAAAUGUGCUGCAACCCAAGAUGGCCAGAGAGUGAGGUGAGUUUGCAUAGUUGUGGAGUCAGUGCUAUUGGCUGACAGAUGGCUGUCCAAGUUCCAAGGCUUCCCUCCACUUUGGCUCUUCUGUUGCUUUGUGGAGUGCUCCAGGAUUGUCAUUGUUGAAUGAGAUUUUUGGACGGUCAGAUUCUCAGAUUCCCCAAGAUUCACCUGAUGAGUUUAUAGAUUUAUAGAUGAUGUCCUUACCUCACCUCUACAUCCCUCUCCCCUUAUACUCUAGAUAUUCAUUCUGUAUAUCUGUCAGUUACAUUCUGUCCACUUCUUUAAAUAUUCUAUACAUUCAUUCUAUCUUUAAGUUUGUCACAUUGUAUUUGUCUCUGUAUAUUUAUAUUUUAUCUGUUCCACAUUCGGUCCAGCUCUCUUUAUAUUAUAUACAUCUGGCCACCACAUUCUGUCCAUUUCAGUAUGCUCUAUAUAUUCAUUCUUUCUAACACAUUCUAUCAUCUCUGUAUAUUAAUUCUAUAUAUCUAUCACAUUCUAUCCAUCUCAUUCAUCCACCCUCGCUGUGUCGUUGUGUUCAUUCCUGAGCCAGGCAGGGCCAAAUGUAUCCAGUUAAACAUAUUUGCCCCAUAGGCAUGCUUCAUAGACGGGGCUUGCCUUCGUUAUUUAUAUCAGAACGGACAGGCUCUGGUCUAGCAAGUAAAUCUAGAAGCCGCAGGGACCAGACAAUCCCACACUCCCCUACAUCCUGGGUCUUCGGUUUUUGUGGCUUAAGCAAAUAACCAGCAACCCCUCAGGUUAUGAUGUUUUAGACCACACCCCUGCCACCUUUUGCCACAUUGCACACCAUAGAACUGCCCUGUGCACUGCUGACUUUGUUUGAAAGGCCAGUAAUUCAGAUUGAAGGGUGCAUAAACAUGAGAACCUUAUUUGUACUGGCAUGAUACUUGUGAUGCAAUUAGAAGCACCUUUGGCCUUGUUAAUAAAAUAAGGGUAUCUUUGACCCCGAUUUGAUUUUCAUUUCUUGUGUGUCAGUCUGGCUAAAGACUAUUACUUGUUGAACAAAGUGGCCUUUUGUACUACAUCAUGUGUGAUUUGAUCUUGUUUGUGGAUAUUUGAAUUAGAGUAUUUUCCUACACAACGUUAUAUGCUUUUUCUGAACGUCUGUUGAUUUAGGUUAUGCUCAGAUUGUCGUACUGCCUAGUAUUUUUUUUAUAUGGAUUUUUUUUAAAAUAUGCAUAUUUAUAUGGAUAUGCAUGAUCUAAUACAGAAUCUUUAGAACACUGCAUAGAAUUAAAAAAGUCUUUCAUAUUUAGAUUUUAAAAUCUAUAAAAAAAAUUUUUUGCCAAAAACUACAUAAAAUAAUUUAUUAGUAUUAUUAUUGUUGUUAACCCAUUGCAAGACUUUAACCCUCCAAUUCCUCCAAUUAAUUUGUUGUAAUGAUAUUCAAAUUUUAUAAUAAUAUUAUUUAUUCUAAUAUUAGCAGUUAACAUUAGCAAUUUUAAUAAUUUAAUAAUAAUCAUUAUUAUAUU